UUAUCCAGCAAUGGAUGACUGAGUGGCGAACGGGUGAGUAACACGUGGGUGACCUACCUUCGAGUGGGGGAUAACGUCCCGAAAGGGACGCUAAUACCGCAUAACAUCCUGCCUUUGAACAGGCGGUGAUCAAAGCCGGGGACCGUAAGGCCCGGCGCUUGAUGAGGGGCUCGCGUCUGAUUAGCUAGUUGGUGAGGUAACGGCCCACCAAGGCGACGAUCAGUAUCCGGCCUGAGAGGGCGGACGGACACACUGGGACUGAGACACGGCCCAGACUCCUACGGGAGGCAGCAGUGGGGAAUUGUUCACAAUGGGCGCAAGCCUGAUGACGCAACGCCGCGUGGAGGAUGAAGGUCUUCGGAUUGUAAACUCCUGUUGCCCGGGACGAAAAGCUUCGACCUAACACGUCGAGGUCUGACGGUACCGGGUGAGGAAGCCCCGGCUAACUCUGUGCCAGCAGCCGCGGUAAUACAGAGGGGGCAAGCGUUGUUCGGAAUUACUGGGCGUAAAGGGCGCGUAGGCGGCCUUCUAAGUCGAACGUGAAAUCCCUGGGCUCAACCCAGGAACUGCGUCCGAUACUGGAAGGCUUGAAUCCGGGAGAGGGAUGCGGAAUUCCAGGUGUAGCGGUGAAAUGCGUAGAUAUCUGGAGGAACACCGGUGGCGAAGGCGGCAUCCUGGACCGGUAUUGACGCUAAGGCGCGAAAGCCAGGGGAGCAAACGGGAUUAGAUACCCCGGUAGUCCUGGCCCUAAACGAUGAAUGCUUGGUGUGGCGGGUAUCGAUCCCUGCCGUGCCGAAGCUAACGCAUUAAGCAUUCCGCCUGGGGAGUACGGUCGCAAGGCUG
rnacentral:rRNA from 1 species